rfam:Nitrospirae bacterium RIFCSPLOWO2_12_FTLL_63_8 rifcsplowo2_12_scaffold_125906, whole genome shotgun sequence.
GGGCAGGUACCCAAGUGGCCAACGGGGGCAGACUGUAAAUCUGCUGGCUUAUGUCUUCCAAGGUUCGAAUCCUUGCCUGCCCA